rnacentral:lncRNA from 1 species
CCCACCCACCUCCCCUACCUCUCGCCUCCCCCAAUGGGAUGAUUGCUAACCAAAAAAUUAGGGAUUUCAUGAGCUUUGGGUAUUUGGGAAUUUUGGGAACCGAGCAUACAUAAUGAAACUAUGCUUUGAAUACAAUUGCAGAUCCACUUGAUUGAUUCAUCGAAGAGAUGGAAGAGAGGCAUACGUUGUGAUGGGUUCGUAUUGAAUGGGCCAUGGUUGG